CAGUGGUUUCCUAACAAAGCAUCAAUUUUUGGCAACUACUGAGGAUGGCUUCCUCAAUUUCUGGAAUUAUAAAGGUUAAGCAUGAUCAAAACAAAGAAGGGUCUCGACAUAGAGGAAGAUCACUUGAGAUUGGCAUGGGUAUUUACAUGCUACUAUCAG